UACGUAGGGGGCGAGCGUUGUCCGGAUUUAUUGGGCGUAAAGAGCUCGUAGGUGGUUUGGUAAGUCGGAUGUGAAAUCUCCAGGCUCAACCUGGAGGGGUCAUUCGAGACUGCCAUGACUAGAGUUCGGUAGAGGAGUAUGGAAUUCCCGGUGUAGCGGUGAAAUGCGCAGAUAUCGGGAAGAACACCCGUGGCGAAGGCGGCUCUCUGGGACGGUACUGACGCUGAGACGCGAAAGCGUGGGGAGCGAACAGG
rnacentral:rRNA from 1 species